rnacentral:rRNA from 1 species
CGGACGGGUGAGUAACGCGUGGGUAACCUGCCUUGUACUGGGGGACAACAGUUGGAAACGACUGCUAAUACCGCAUAAGCGCACAGCUUCGCAUGAAGCAGUGCGAAAAACUCCGGUGGUACAAGAUGGACCCGCGUCUGAUUAGCUGGUUGGUGAGGUAACGGCCCACCAAGGCGACGAUCAGUAGCCGGCCUGAGAGGGUGAACGGCCACAUUGGGACUGAGACACGGCCAA